ACGUCGACGCUGGCUUCUACUCGUGAUGUCGAUCAUGGUCUGAAGGAAGUGGUUUCUACAUGAGAACACCACGAUAAUCCGGAAACGACGGAGUUUUCGAUCACGUUCUAGUCUAAUCGCCGAUUGAGAAGCCUUGAACAAGUCUCCAGUGAGAAGAACUGUAAGUUAGACAUAGAGAGAGUUUUGGAGGUCACGUGAUUUGAACACUACCAGAGAUGAUACGCUCACUUCCCCUCAAAGAAUUCACUAAGACUUUUAGUCAAACCAUAUAAUGCCUGGACUAUCAGGGUGCGGCACAGGUUUGUGAUUAGCAAACUCGAUUUUACGGUACACAAGCAAGUGGUAAAAGGUUUUCGAAUUAUAUUUUGAGAAACUCGGUGAAUCCUGAGCUCAAGUGUCGUGUUGUGUUGUUGGCAUCUCGCUAAACGAGGCAGAACGAGUGGCUGGAGCUUGUUGGGUUUUGGCUGCGGAAACAAGGUUGAUAAUGCUAUUAGAAGUAACGGUAACCGAAUAGUCAAUAACAUAAACAGCGAGUGAUUCGUCAAUGACAUAAACUCAUAAAGCGUCAUGUAACUUCAAGGUAACCGCCCAGCACUCUGCGUCAGACGGUCGAUCAGAGCGCAUCUGGUGUCCCUAUUUUUUACUACACCACAGAGCAUCUUGUCAAGCAUGGCGAGCGAUUGGUGCUGUAUUUUCUUGGUCGUCGCUGUUUUCCAACUAGCAGAUGCGUCGCAUUUUCGUGGCGCUACUAUCAAUUGGAGGUCUAUUGCUACUCCAGCAGAACCGGGAAAGGGUCUGUUAUACAUUUUUACACUAACUGACUUUGCAGCGCAGAAACACACAAUAUCUUGUGUACAAACUUUGAUGGUUGACUCGCUGUUCGCUGGAACGUUUCAAUAGAUCCGUCCGCACCGGAACUUGCUAGUUCCUAGAAGCCCUAGAGACCUUGAAGCUGUACCCACGCAAUUGUUGUCGCAUGUGUUACAUUUCGGGUGAAUAGACAGACAACGGGUCGUGUGACUCUCGCUAAGAUUUAGUUUAUGCUGGUGUCAUCGU